UACGUAGGGGGCAAGCGUUAUCCGGAUUUACUGGGUGUAAAGGGAGCGUAGACGGCAAGGCAAGUCUGAUGUGAAAACCCAGGGCUUAACCCUGGGACUGCAUUGGAAACUGUCUGGCUCGAGUGCCGGAGAGGUAAGCGGAAUUCCUAGUGUAGCGGUGAAAUGCGUAGAUAUUAGGAAGAACACCAGUGGCGAAGGCGGCUUACUGGACGGUAACUGACGUUGAGGCUCGAAAGCGUGGGGAGCAAAC
rnacentral:rRNA from 2 species